rnacentral:rRNA from 1 species
ACGGGGGUUGCAAGCGUUGUCCGGAAUUACUAGGCGUAAAGGGCAGGUAGGCGGAUAUAUAAGUUUUGUGUUAAAGGCAUCGGCUUAACCGGUGUAAGGCAUAGGAUACUGUAUAUCUGGAAUGCGGUUGAGGAAGACAGAAUUCCUGGUGUAGCGGUGUAAUGCGCAGAUAUCAGGACGAAUCCCAAAAGGGAAGGCAAUCUUAUAAGCCGAUAUUGCCGCUAAACUGCGAAGGUGUGGGUAUCCAAAAG